AUAUAGUAAAUAUAGUAAAUAUAUUCUACCCGUUAAUUAACAGAAGUUGCUGUUUAUUUUUUGAGAAAUAAUGUUACCGUUUUUCUAUCGGUUUGGUGUGUUAAAUCUAACAGUAAUAUACAGAACCCAUUAGCCUUAUCGACAGUGACGAUCAGUUUUAAUUGUUUCUCCUUCGAUUAUGAGAACGGGGAUUCGUUUUGGAUAGUAAUUUAAUUAAAAUAAAUGUAAUUAAUUUAAUUUAAUUAAUUACCCAUUACCCGUGAUGCUAAGCAUCAGUUGCUAUGGAGACGUAGCCAGUCCCCUUAGCGAUUGGGUGAUUUCUUUAGUGAUUUCAUUUCUCAUUGCGCUCUGUCCAGAGAUGCCAGGAAGUUCAACGAAAAUGUGCCCAGGGUGCAAUACCCUAAUAAGUGUUGCAUACAAAGCUUGCCCACAUUGCAAACAACUGCAGCCAUACAAAGCAAAAGUUGCAGCAAAGAGAUGCAACUUUCAAAAUAAAAAAAAUGAAUGGAAGGAGUCGGUCAAGAAAAACAACAACAGGACAGUUGUUCUCAAUAGCAGCCAUGUGUUGCUUGACAAACUUGCUGCCCUUGAUUUUUUCCCAAUACUACUUUUGGGUAAGAAAUGCAAAGGAAGUUUGGUGGCCGAUGUCAUCCUAGGAGGGGACUAUAUUUUGGAUCCUGAUUUGCUUCAGAGGGUUAAAGUUAUGUAUGAAGCUGUGCUAAAGAUUCAUUUUCAAAGACAGAAGAAGGCCACAAGUAGCACAGAAACUACUCACCCUCCCAAAGCCACUGCCACUGAGACCAACGUCACUCCAGAAGCCACUGAGACCAACGUCACUCCAGAAGCCACUGAGACCACCGUCAUUCCAGAAGCCACUGAGACCAACGUCACUCCAGAAGCCACUGAGACCAACGUCACUCCAGAAGCCACUGAGACCAACGUCACUCCAGAAGCCACUGAGACCACAGGCUCAUCAAAAGCCACAAGACCCCGGGGCCAGAAGGCAAAAAAAAGACAAAAUCCAGUCCAACAGAGGGUAGCCAGCAAUAUGAAGCCAAAAAAAAAGUAUGAGUGUCCAGAAUGCUGUUGGAGAGUGAGGCAAAACAACUUUGACUACUCCAAGGUUUUGAAAAGAAGAGUGAGAGAGGGAACAGAGGAGGUCCUCAUUUGUUGGGUUCCAUGCAAGACCUGUGGGACCAAAUGGAAAGACUCCUGGGAGCCCUCCUCCCUUCUUGAAUAA
ensembl:lncRNA